rnacentral:lncRNA from 1 species
GGAGAUGCGGGUCGAAAAAUCGCGUUUUUCGCGAACAUUUUCGCUUUUGAGAUUUUGCUUCUAAAAUUAUUUUUGGUCAUUAAACUCUUACUUUCCUAAAUAUCAAGGCUGAAUUCGAACGAGAAAUCGGUGAAAAAUCGAUCUGCAUCAGCCAAGGUAGCUCUCUAAGUCACGAAUUUGCGCGUAUAACGGCUGUUUUAGAACACCCGCCUCUCGGAAACUCGACGUCGUCCGCCAUUGCAGUUUGUUCAGUGAGAUAGAUCAAGCCUUAUUCUAGCAUACAGGACUUCCUCCAGUUUCGUAUUUUGGUUAAAAAAAGCCGUAUCGAAGUCAGCUUUCAGCCAACUUUCAGCCGAUCUGGCCGUCCCGACUGGUCACGUGAUAGUCAGCCCCGCUCACGGAGCGCUUGCGAAGGUCAGCGCUUGCCGCGCGUUUCUACAUUUCUCUUAGUCCGCAAUGGAUCACUCGAAGAAGCGUGAUUUUCGAGCUCGGAAAUAUGGAAGCAAGAACAAGUAUCAAGGGCGUCGACGUAGGCCGAAACGCAAAGCGACUGUGGAAGAACGCGACUCGCCUACCGCUAGGCCUAAUCAGGGCUGCGGGGAUACGGUGGCUCGCGGGAACUCCGAUGAUAUCGACGACGCCGCGAUCAAGUUUAUCAGCGCAUCCGAAAAAAAGAUAGGACAUUUCGAAAACGAGAGAACAAGAAGUGGUGAUGGUUCCGUGAACGGAGUAAUCUGCGACAUCGGUGCGCUUACAGCAAUGUAUAUUGAAGAAUAAACAUGUUUACAACUUUCAAAUGCAUUUUUCUCAAUUUGCAUUUUGAGGCAAUUCUGACAUGUGGUGCACAAACUUUCAUGCACUUAAAAUUGUCCUAUCUUAAUGAAAUUUUGCACAGAGCGUCUUCAAACACUCUAAAGUACUGAUAUCUAUAUAAAGUUGCAAUAUACAUUACAGAUAUUUUGUUUCAUAACUUGAAAUGCCGAUGGGGUAGAUGUAAAAUAUAGAUUUGGUACUCUCGAUUUUUUAAAAAAAAGGUAGCAUGUUAUGCCCACAUUUGAGGUUCUUUUCAGUAAUAUACUGCUCAUGUGCAGCAAAAUGAGCUAUAUUGGGAUUCUGUGUGAAAAUUUUUAAUAAGCUAAAAA